rnacentral:rRNA from 1 species
CAGUCGCCGCGGGAAUACGUAGGGUGCAAGCGUUAAUCGGAAUUACUGGGCGUAAAGCGUGCGCAGGCGGUUUGUUAAGACAGAUGUGAAAUCCCCGGGCUCAACCUGGGAACUGCAUUUGUGACUGGCAAGCUAGAGUGUGGCAGAGGGGGGUGGAAUUCCGCGUGUAGCAGUGAAAUGCGUAGAUAUGCGGAGGAACACCGAUGGCGAAGGCAGCCCCCUGGGCCAACACUGACGCUCAUGCACGAGAGCGUGGGGAGCAAACAGGAUUAGAUACCCCGGUAGUCCCUGUCUCUUAUAC